AAUCCUGACACAGGGAGGUAGUGACAAGAAAUAACAAUACAGGGCUACUUCUAGUCUUGUAAUUGGAAUGAGUACAACUUACAUCUCUUCACGAGGAUCAAUUGGAGGGCAAGUCUGGUGCCAGCAGCCGCGGUAAUUCCAGCUCCAAAAGCGUAUAUUAAAGUUGUUGCAGUUAAAACGCUCGUAGUCGGGUUUCGGGUCGGGCCGAGCGGUCUGCCGAUGGGUAUGCACUGUUUGGCGCGGCCUUCUUUCCGGAGACCGCGGCUACUCUUAACUGAGCGGGCGUGGGAGACGGAUCGUUUACUUUGAAAAAAUCAGAGUGUUUCAAGCAGGCAGCUCGCUCUUGCAUGGUACAGCAUGGGAUGAUUGAAUAGGACUCCGGUGCUAUUUUGUUGGUUUCGAACACCAGGAGUAAUGAUUAACAGGGACAGUCAGGGGCACUCGUAUUCCGUCGAGAGAGG
rnacentral:rRNA from 2 species